rnacentral:rRNA from 1 species
GAUGAACGCUGGCGGCGUGCCUAAUACAUGCAAGUCGAGCGAACAGACGAGGAGCUUGCUCCUCUGACGUUAGCGGCGGACGGGUGAGUAAAACGUGGAUAACCUACCUAUAAGACUGGAAUAACUUCGGGAAACCGGAGCUAAUACCGGAUAAUAUAUUGAACCGCAUGGUUCAAUAGUGAAAGACGGUUUUGCUGUCACUUAUAGAUGGAUCCGCGCCGCAUUAGCUAGUUGGUAAGGUAACGUCUUACCAAGGCAACGAUGCGUAACCGACCUGAGAGGCUGAUCGCCCACCUUGGAACUGAGACACGGCCCAGCCGCCUACGGAAGGCAGCAGUAGGCAAUCUUCGGCAAUGGGCGAAAGCCUGACGGAGCAGCGCCGCGUGAGUGAUAAAGGUCUUCGGAUCGUAAAACUCUGUUAUUAGGGAAGAACAAGUGGGUAAGUAACUAUGCACGUCUUGACGGUACCUAAUCAGAAAGCCACGGCUAACUACGUG